GUCGCCAAAUGUAGUGCAAUCUGUAUGUCUGUUUUCCCUUCUAUACGAAUAAAUACUACUCCAUGGUCUACAUUGAAAUUCAGAGAGGAAAAUGAAUCAUCUGAGAAGGCAAUGCCUGUAUGUACUGUAGCAUGUGAAGUUUCAUCAUCCUCAAAGCAAAAGAGAGAAAGAGUAGGUGGACAUGGGGGAAAACCAUACCCGGGCAGGAGCGGCAGUGGAGUAGGGGAGACGCAAAGGCGAGAUGUACGAGAGCUUGCUUAACUGUAACCAGGCAUGGCCACAUGGGCUACCUCGACCAUCACAUGCGCGCACAACGGCACAAAUACAAUAUACGUACAUCAUUCAACAAAUCAUCAACCAGAGCACCCGGGGAGUUCUUGUUCAAUUCACACUUGUAAUCUUUCACACCUCGGCUACAACCAUCGACCAGACACCAUCCGGAAUCAAAUCGACAAAACAAAGAAAAGGGAAAAUGGAACAAUCAAGCGCACAAGAACCAAUGUUUAAGCUNNN
rnacentral:lncRNA from 1 species